GGAGGCUCAGACUUCCAGAGAUGUCUACCUCUGUCUGCUCAGUGCUCGGACUAAAUGUGUAGCUACUGUUUCUGACUGAUUCGAGACAGAAUCUUCUGUAAUCAAGGCUGGCCUUGAACUCACUAAGCUGAUGUAUUUGUUUUGAGACAGCUGCCUUAGUUAUAAAUGGCUGCUGUGAUACAACACCCUACGGAAGCAACCCAGAGAGGGAUGGCCGCAGGAGCAAGGAACGGCUGGUCAGCUGACUUCCACAGUCUCGGAGGAAGGGAGCAUCCUGGAUAACCUGCUGUCUACUCCCUGCUCUCCGCCUACUAAGUUAAGUCCCCACCCCACUGAGGGAGCCAUGCCACCCAUGGUGGCAUCCGGUCUUCCUAAUCAAGAUAACCUCCAUGUCCCAAGGCCUCUCUUCCAGGAGAUUCCAGAUUUUGCCAACUUGACAAUAUGUAUCCCAGGCUGGUCUUGAACUUGAGGUCUCUCUGCCCCAGCCUCCCGAUCGAUCAUUAAGAUUGCUGGUAUGGGCUACUACAGCCAGUUUUACAGAGCGCCAGGGGUUGGGUCUAGAGUCUUUUACGUGUUAGGCACACACUACCAAUUCUUUUCAUUUUUAAACAGUUGAUGAGUGGGUUACAGUAUGGCUCAGGGGCAGAAGCUUGGCUAGCAUGCUGUAGGCCCCAGGUUUGGCUUUUAGCAGGGUGUGUAUGUGUGUGUGUGUGUGUGUGUGUGUGUGUUUGUGUAGGUCAGUAGAAAUAGGUGGUCAAUUUUAAGGUGGCAGGCACUUGCCAUUUAUGCUAAAGGUUGCUUUCCUUGUGGCUAGGACAUGCAGGUGCCCUCAGCAAGUUUCUGUUUCAGGUCUACUGUGCUUAGAGCCCAUGUGCUCUUGGGAGCACUGAGAGACGCUGGGUUUGACAGCAGGACACACUUGUACAUAAGACAAAUAUACAGCUCAGGGUGUUUAAGGUUGCCUUAAUAGAGACCCAUCUUCCCAGUGACUUGAGACACUGACACAGGAGGAUAUUGAGGUACAAGCCAGUUUGGGCUACAUACUGAGUUCCAGGCUAGCCUGAGCUAAAGAAUGAGACUCUGUCUCAAAAAAAAAAAAAAAAAAAAAAAGGAGGAAAAAGGACAACCACAACAAAUAGAAAGCAACAGUGAACAAUAUCAUUGGAACACAAUAGUGCUUCAUUUGAAGCAAGUUUUUAUUUAUUUGCUUUUAAAGUAUAUUUUCAGUGCAGUGCUCAAGGAGGCCAGAAGAGAGAAGAGUGUGGCACCCAUUGGGGCUGGAGUUACAGAUGUUCGUGAGCCAGCUUGUUGUCGGGAAUCCAAUCCAAUCCUCUGGAAAGACAGCCAAUGUUCUUAACCACUGAGCCAUCUCUCCAGUCUCAACACUUAAAAACAAAAACAAAACCACAACUUUGCGAUAGAUAGAACUUUAGCUGAAUUCAUUCAGAAACAAGACAAGUUAACAAUGCAAGGAAUGAAAAACGUGAUGUCACCAAAGUCACCGAGUACAGAAGCCGAGGGGACUGUGUGCCUGCCUGGCUGCACUCUUUCCUUUGUCACUUCCUCUAGAAGAGGGACAGAGGCAGUAAUGGCUCUAGCCCAUGUUUUGAUGUUUCUAGGUGUGACUUUUGUGUACCCUAUCUUGGCAUUUUUACCCACAUCAUAUGGUAAUGUGGGUGAUUAGUUAGAACUGUAAGCAUCCUCGGGCAAUGAGAUAGCUUACUGGGUAAACACCACUGAAGACCUACAUUGGAUCCUGGGACUGCCAUGUUAGAGAUGGAGAGCCAUUGUUGGCUUCUUACCUCCAUGCCCGUAGGCAUAUGGGCACAUACAAUAGAUACAUACAUGAGUGUCACAAAGUAAGCCUGGAUGGGUGGGGAUGGCGCAUGCCUUUAGUCCCAGCACUCAAAAGGCAGAGGCAGGUGGAUCUUUCUGAGUCUGAGGCCAGCCUGGUCUACAGAGCAAGUUCUAGGAGAGCCAAGGCUGCUCAAAGAAAUUCUAUCUCAAGGUUAAAAAAAAAAAAAAAAGGAAGCCUUUUACAAAACAAUGCUGUUGAUCGUCUGUGUCUCAAUUUCUCGUCCAGUUGCUGAGACAAACCUCCCAAUAAAAAAGCAAGUUAAAGGACAAAGGGUUGAUUGGACACACGUUUCCCGAUUACAGUCGGCCAUGGCAGUCCAGACAGCAAGAAUUUGAGUUGUUAGGCAGCAGAGGAAGGAACCCAUGCCGCCCAGAGCGGUAGUCCAGUCCCACAGCCCAGGGCUCACUCACAGUGAAGGUAGUAAUCCCUACAGGCAUGCCCAAAGCCCCUCUCCUAGGGACUCUAGGUUCUGUGACAAGCAAGAUUCUAGAUCUCGACAGCAAGAUGACAGUUAAGACAAUUCGUCACAAUUACAAAUGCAGAUUUAUUGUUCAGAGAUGCGUCUCUAAGGUCUUUGGAACAACAAAAAUGUGAAGCCAAUCUGAAUAUCUAAUCCUGAAAAAUGAGAAAUUUCAAGAAUUUAUUAUCUGAGGGUGUAGGAGCUAUUAUUUAUACCGAAACCGGGAACUCUGGCUCUCUCCCUCUCCUCAGACUCCAGGGCAGCACGGGGCACUUUGAAGUUGCCUCCCGUCUCCUGACCAGCUUUGCUCAGUAACCUAAAAUAUUGUUUUGUUUUGUUUUUUUUUUUUCUUUUUCUCAUUUCAUAGAGGCUUAGGCUCAGUGAGGUGUACUCAGAGAAAAGUGUACAAAAAAAGAAGAAGAAGAAGAAGAAGAAGAAGGA
rnacentral:lncRNA from 1 species